UACGUAGGGUGCAAGCGUUGCCCGGAUUUAUUGGGAGUAAAGGGUGUGUAGGCGGAGGGGUGAGUUGGGUGUGAAAGCCCCCUGGCUCAACUGGGGGAGGUCAUGGGAAACGGUCGGACUGGAGCCCGGUAGGGGGCCAUGGAAUUCCCGGUGUAGUGGUGGAAUGCGUAGAGAUCGGGAGGAACACCUGUGGCGAAGGCGGUGGCCUGGACCGGUGCUGACGCUGAGGCGCGAAGGCGUGGGGAGCGAUCCGG
rnacentral:rRNA from 1 species